rnacentral:rRNA from 1 species
AGCGCAGGUGGUUUAUUAAGUCUGGUGUAAAAGGCAGUGGCUCAACCAUUGUAUGCAUUGGAAACUGGUAGACUUGAGUGCAGGAGAGGAGAGUGGAAUUCCAUGUGUAGCGGUGAAAUGCGUAGAUAUAUGGAGGAACACCGGUGGCGAAAGCGGCUCUCUGGCCUGUAACUGACACUGAGGCUCGAAAGGCUGGGGAGCAAACA